GUUACACUACUGUACAUGUGUCCUGGAUACUGUAUAGUACAUGUUACAAAUUGACAGCUUCACUUACAGCACUGUUGUUUUUUCUCACAGUACCACCACCACCACCACCACCACCAACACCGUCUGACCAGCAGAGCUCUGGAAGUGACCGCCUCGUUAUUGAUACCGAGGAGGAGGAAAUGGGGGAGCCUUCAGGCCAGCCUGAUGUCACUUACGUGGACUCUGAGUCGUCGGAGGAGCCGCCACAGUAUAUAAUUAUUGACAGUGAUGAGGAAGGGGAGAAAAAGCCCUCUCCCCAACUUGGCCCUACACUGUCACAGGCGGUGGCGGAGGACUCUAUGUCCAUCACCUCACUGCACCCAUUAAG